UACGGAGGAUCCGAGCGUUAUCCGGAAUCAUUGGGUUUAAAGGGUCCGUAGGCGGGCGCUUAAGUCAGCGGUGAAAUUCUGCAGCUCAACUGUAGGACUGCCGUUGAUACUGGGCGUCUUGAAUAGAUGUGAAGUGGUCGGAAUAUGUGGUGUAGCGGUGAAAUGCUUAGAUAUCACAUGGAACACCUAUUGCGAAGGCAGGUCACUAACAUUUUAUUGACGCUGAUGGACGAAAGCGUGGGGAGCGAACAGG
rnacentral:rRNA from 1 species